CCUACGGGGCGCAGCAGUGGGGAAUAUUGGGCAAUGGGCGCAAGCCUGACCCAGCAACGCCGCGUGAAGGAAGAAGGCUUUCGGGUUGUAAACUUCUUUUCUCAGGGACGAAGCAAGUGACGGUACCUGAGGAAUAAGCCACGGCUAACUACGUGCCAGCAGCCGCGGUAAUACGUAGGUGGCAAGCGUUAUCCGGAUUUACUGGGUGUAAAGGGCGUGUAGGCGGGACUGCAAGUCAGAUGUGAAAACCAUGGGCUCAACCUAUGGCCUGCAUUUGAAACUGUAGUUCUUGAGUACUGGAGAGGCAGACGGAAUUCCUAGUGUAGCGGUGAAAUGCGUAGAUAUUAGGAGGAACACCAGUGGCGAAGGCGGCUUACUGGACUGUAACUGAUGUUGAGGCUUGAAAGCGUGGGGAGCAAACAGGAUUAGAUACCCCGGUAGUC
rnacentral:rRNA from 1 species